rnacentral:rRNA from 1 species
CAAUAGCAUAUAUUAACGUUGUUGCAGUUGAAAAGCUCGUAGUUGAACUUUUGGUAGGAGCGACCUGGCCUUGGGCGCAUGCCCUUGUUUGCCGUGUGUCGUAUCUGGCCAUCCUUUUCUUCUUUUUUCGGAGGAAUCUUUUACUGUGAGUAAACUGGAGUGCUCAAAACAAGACGUUUGUUUGGUACAUUAAAGCAUGGAAUAAUAAGAUAGGACCUGGUUACUAUUUUGUUGGUUUGCAUAGCUAGGUAAUGAUUAACAGGGACAGUUGGGGGUAUUCGUAUUUAAUUGUCAGAGGUGAAAUUCUUGGAUUUAUGAAAGACGAACGACUGCGAAAGCAUUUACCAAGGAUGUUUUCAUUAA